rnacentral:rRNA from 1 species
GGAGGACCAUCUCCUAAGGCUAAAUACUCUCUAGUGACCGAUAGUGAACCAGUACCGUGAGGGAAAGGUGAAAAGCACCCCGGAAGGGGAGUGAAAUAGAACCUGAAACCGUGUGCUUACAAGUAGUCAGAGCCCGUUAAUGGGUGAUGGCGUGCCUUUUGUAGAAUGAACCGGCGAGUUACGAUUUGAUGCAAGGUUAAGCAGUAAAUGUGGAGCCGUAGCGAAAGCGAGUCUGAAUAGGGCGUUUAGUAUUUGGUCGUAGACCCGAAACCAGGUGAUCUACCCUUGGUCAGGUUGAAGUUCAGGUAACACUGAAUGGAGGACCGAACCGACUUACGUUGAAAAGUGAGCGGAUGAACUGAGGGUAGCGGAGAAAUUCCAAUCGAACCUGGAGAUAGCUGGUUCUCUCCGAAAUAGCUUUAGGGCUAGCCUCAAGUGAUGAUUAUUGGAGGUAGAGCACUGUUUGGACGAGGGGCCCCUCUCGGGUUACCGAAUUCAGACAAACUCCGAAUGCCAAUUAAUUUAACUUGGGAGUCAGAACAUGGGUGAUAAGGUCCGUGUUCGAAAGGGAAACAGCCCAGACCACCAGCUAAGGUCCCAAAAUAUAUGUUAAGUGGAAAAGGAUGUGGCGUUGCCCAGACAACUAGGAUGUUGGCUUAGAAGCAGCCAUCAUUUAAAGAGUGCGUAAUAGCUCACUAGUCGAGUGACACUGCGCCGAAAAUGUACCGGGGCUAAACAUAUUACCGAAGCUGUGGAUUGUCCUUUGGACAAUGGUAGGAGAGCGUUCUAAGGGCGUUGAAGCAUGAUCGUAAGGACAUGUGGAGCGCUUAGAAGUGAGAAUGCCGGUGUGAGUAGCGAAAGACGGGUGAGAAUCCCGUCCACCGAUUGACUAAGGUUUCCAGAGGAAGGCUCGUCCGCUCUGGGUUAGUCGGGUCCUAAGCUGAGGCCGACAGGCGUAGGCGAUGGAUAACAGGUUGAUAUUCCUGUACCACCUAUAAUCGUUUUA